UGUCCUUAGUACGAGAGGACCGGGAUGGACGUACCGCUGGUGUACCAGUUGUUCCGCCAGGAGCACCGCUGGGUAGCUAUGUACGGAAGGGAUAAGCGCUGAAAGCAUCUAAGCGUGAAGCCCCCCUCAAGAUGAGAUUUCCCAAUUAGUAAGACCCCUUGAAGACGACGAGGUAGAUAGGUUGGGGGUGGAAGUGCAGUAAUGCAUGGAGCUGACCAAUACUAAUCGGUCGAGGGCUUAUCCU
rnacentral:rRNA from 1 species